CACCUUUCUCUUUCAUCCACACACACCUGUGCACCUGGGAAAAAGAUUAAGGGAAUUUUCCCUUCUUUGAGGAGGAGGGGGAGGGACCCUGCUGUCUACUUAAUUUAUAUAAACUCAAUUUAUUUUAAAAUGAAUGUAAAGGAUGUAACACAUCUAAUACUAAGUUUCAACAACGGAUCUCUUGGCUCUCGCAUCGAUGAAAAACGCAGCGAAAUGCGAUAAGUAAUGUGAAUUGCAAAAUUCAGUGAAUCAUCGAAUCUUUGAACGCACCUUGCGCUCCUCGGUAUUCCUUGGAGCAUGCCUGUUUGAGUAUCGUGAAAUCUUCAAAGUAAAUCAUUUGUUCACUCAAUUGAUUCUACUUUGGUAAUGGAGGUUUACUGCAGCUUCACAUCUGCUCCUCUUUGUGCAUUAGCUGGAUUCUCAGUGUUAUGCUUGGUUCCACUCAGCGUGAUAAGUUAAUUAAUUGGCUGGGGACACCCCAUAACCAAAGGGGUGGCCGAGGUAAAUACAGAUGAACCCGCUUCUAAUAGUCCAUUGAUUUGGACAAAAUAAAUAAAUAAAUAUUAUGAUCUGAUCUCAAAUCAGGUAGGGCUACCCGCUGAACUUAAGCAUAUCAAUAAGCGGAGGAAAAGAAACUAACAAGGAUUCCCCUAGUAA
rnacentral:rRNA from 1 species